CAGUCGCCGCGGGAAUACGGAGGGGGCUAGCGUUGUUCGGAUUAACUGGGCGUAAAGGGCGCGUAGGCGGGUUUUUAAGUCAGAGGUGAAAUCCCAAGGCUCAACCUUGGAACUGCCUUUGAUACUGGAAGUCUUGAGUCCGGGAGAGGUGAGUGGAACUGCGAGUGUAGAGGUGAAAUUCGUAGAUAUUGGGAAGAACACCGGUGGCGAAGGCGGCAACCUGGUCCUUGACUGACGCUGAGGCGCGAAAGCGUGGGGAGCAAACAGGAUUAGAUACCCGCGUAGUCCCUGUCUCUUAUAC
rnacentral:rRNA from 1 species